rnacentral:rRNA from 1 species
AGUCAACCUAACCUAUGGACGGGAAUAACCUCGGGAAACUGAGAAUAAUGCCCGAUAGAACAUUAUGCCUGGAAUGGUUUAUGUUCCAAAUGAUUUAUCGCCGUAGGAUGGGACUGCGGCCUAUCAGUUUGUUGGUGAGGUAAUGGCCCACCAAGACUAUUACAGGUACGGGCUCUGAGAGGAGUAGCCCGGAGAUGGGUACUGAGACACGGACCCAGGCCCUAUGGGGCGCAGCAGGCGAGAAAACUUUGCGAUGUGCGAAAGCACGACAAGGUUAAUCCGAGUGGUUUCUGCUAAAGAAACCUUUUGUCAGUCCUAGAAACACUGAUGAAUAAGGGGUGGGCAAGUUCUGGUGUCAGCCGCCGCGGUAAAACCAGCACCUCAAGUGGUCAGGAUGAUUAUUGGGCCUAAAGCAUCCGUAGCCGGCUCUGUAAGUUUUCGGUUAAAUCUGUACGCUCAACGUACAGGCUGCCGGGAAUACUGCAGAGCUAGGGAGUGGGAGAGGUAGACGGUACUCGGUAGGAAGGGGUAAAAUCCUUUGAUCUAUUGAUGACCACCUGUGGCGAAGGCGGUCUACCAGAACACGUCCGACGGUGAGGGAUGAAAGCUGGGGGAGCAAACCGGAUUAGAUACCCGGGUAGUCCCAGCUGUAAACUAUGCAAACUCAGUGAUGCAUUGGCUUGUGGCCAAUGCAGUGCUGCAGGGAAGCCGUUAAGUUUGCCGCCUGGGAAGUACGUACGCAAGUAUGAAACUUA